GCCUCCGCCGGCCGCCAUAGAGACCGGAACUAGAAUUAGAGUAGUCGGCCACGAAAACCAUAGAGUACCCGAGAGGACGGGCAGAGGGAACGUGACUUCCACGAGGCAGCCGCCGGGCUGGCGGGCCCCACGUUCAGGGUUGUGUCUCGGCUGAAAAAAAGGCACGCCCGAACGCUGAGCAGGGAUUACCCGGCCGGACCCGGGAUUGGAAGGGGGCUCGACGACGCCUUAGCCCCCCGUGAAGAAAAGGCUUCCCUCCCUCCCAGCUCCAAAUACGGUCCCUGUGAUCUGAGAACAUUACGGCGGGCAUAGAGUCGUCUUUUCUUUAAUGGCCGUGUAGUCGCGGCACAGCCGAGGGUUUCUGGAAUUGCCUUAAACGUAUGCGUUUGAAGAGCGUACUCUUUUGUCGGAGCAGUCACCUUGGAGGGACCACGCAGGCUAUGGCAGCCCGGGUUCAGCAUGUUUAGGCGUCUACUAUCGGCUGGGGAUGGAAUAGUUCGCGAGUCAGUUUCUGCCUUCUGAUGGAGGCAGAAAUUUAAACAGCCAACACGGUUUCAGUCCCAGAGGUAAAGAGAAAGGGAAGUCCACACUCUGGGGUUAUGGCCUUGAAGUCGAGCAAGCUAUACUAAG